rnacentral:rRNA from 1 species
GUGAGGAAUAUUGGACAAUGGGCGCAAGCCUGAUCCAGCCAUGCCGCGUGCAGGAAGACGCAUCUAUGGUGUGUAAACUGCUUUUGUACGGGAAGAAACACUCCCUCGUGAGGUAGCUUGACGGUACCGUAAGAAUAAGGAUCGGCUAACUCCGUGCCAGCAGCCGCGGUAAUACGGAGGAUCCAAGCGUUAUCCGGAAUCAUUGGGUUUAAAGGGUCCGUAGGCGGUUUAAUAAGUCAGUGGUGAAAGCCCAUCGCUCAACGAUGGAACGGCCAUUGAUACUGUUAGACUUGAAUUACAAGGAAGUAACUAGAAUAUGUAGUGUAGCGGUGAAAUGCUUAGAUAUUACAUGGAAUACCAAUUGCGAAGGCAGGUUACUACUUGUGGAUUGACGCUGAUGGACGAAAGCGUGGGGAGCGAACAGGAUUAGAAACCCCGGUAGUCC